rnacentral:rRNA from 1 species
GCCAUCUGGCCUAAUACUGACACUGAGGUGCGAAAGCAUGGGGAGCAAACAGGAUAAAUACCCUGGUAGUCCAUGCCGUAAACGAUGUCUACUACCCGUUGGGGCCUUUGAGGCUUUAGUGGCGCAGCUAACGCGAUAAGUAGACCGCCUGGGGAGUACGGUCGCAAGACUAAAACUCAAAUGAAUUGACGGGGGCCCGCACAAGCGGUGGAGCAUGUGGUUUAAUUCGAUGCAACGCGAAGAACCUUACCUGGUCUUGACAUAGUAAGAACUUUCCAGAGAUGGAUUGGUGCCUUCGGGAACUUACAUACAGGUGCUGCAUGGCUGUCGUCAGCUCGUGUCGUGAGAUGUUGGGUUAAGUCCCGCAACGAGCGCAACCCUUUUCCUUAUUUGCCAGCGGGUUAAGCCGGGAACUUUAAGGAUACUGCCAGUGACAAACUGGAGGAAGGCGGGGACGACGUCAAGUCAUCAUGGCCCUUACGACCAGGGCUACACACGUGCUACAAUGGUCGGUACAAAGGGUUGCUACCUCGCGAGAGGAUGCUAAUCUCAAAAAGCCGAUCGUAGUCCGGAUUGGAGUCUGCAACUCGACUCCCAUGAAGUCGGAAUCGCUAGUAAUCGCGGAUCAGAAUGCCGCGGUGAAUACGUUCCCGGGCCUUGUACACACCCGCCCGUCACACCAUGGGAGUUUGUUGCACCAGAAGUAGGUUAGUCUAACCUUUAGGGGGGACGCUUACCCACGGUGUGGCAGAUGACUGGGGUGAAGUCGUAACAAGGUAACCAAUCACUAUGGAUUC